AAAUCCCAGCAACCACAUGGUGGCUCUCAACCAUCCGUAACGAGAUCUGACUCCCUCUUCUGGAGUGUCUGAGGACAGCUACACAGCUACAGUGUACUUACAAUAAAUAAAUAAAUCUUUAAAAAAAAAAAAAAAAAAAAAAGAAAGUGGAGGCAGUAGAAUUCUGAGUUCUAGGCCAGUCUCAGCUUCAGAACAAGCAAAGGGUGAGAUUUCCUGGAACUGCAUAAUAGGAAGGAAAACAAGGUGGGGUGUUUGUCAGAGUAGGUGACUCAUGAAAAGGACAGGAAAGAGUGCCAGUCAAGGACAAAGAACUCUGUAUGGGGAUGGCUGAGGGUUUGGAGAGUGCUACAGAGGGAUUAGGGGUAAACAGGAUAAGUGGAGGGAAAGAGAAUGGAGCAGCAGACUCCAGAGUUCUGGGCUCCCCUCCAUGUCUGUAUAAUGUCUUAGUGGUGACGCACAGAACCUGAAAACCAUCUUGGCCUCUUUCUGCUCUACACACUGUCACAAAAACAUGGGAUCCAGAGUCUAUCAAAAGCAUUGGCUUUUGAUAGAUAUAUUCAGCCCGUUAACAAAACUGUGCACCUGUCCUCUAGCUCAAGCACUCAGUUGCUAAGAUAGUAGUGUAAUAUAAUCAAAGCAAAGCAAAGGUCAGAUAACAUUCACUCUGCAUUUUGCAAG
rnacentral:lncRNA from 1 species